CAGGUCUCUCUCCCUCCUCCCCGCGCCAGGGGACGGCAGCCAAGUGACGGGAUAGUGAUUCAUCAGGGGCCCGUGACAGCUGCACAGGGGCUCACUCCUCCCCCGGCUCGGCUCGGCUCGGCUCGGCUCGGCUCGGCUCGGCUCGGCUCGGCUCGGCUCGGCUGCACCCCGCAAAGGUGAAGCAUGACUCAAGCCGUCUGUCACUGCGCAGAACUGCUGAGAGGGGAUGGCUGCUCAUUUCCAGACCCUUCCAGGCCUUGAGAAAACUCUGACAGCAGCGAGGUGCUUGGCUAAAAACUGCAUGUCAUAAGUUUGUGAGCAACAUGAAAACGCUGUGUGCGUACGUGUUCAUACACCUGAAAUUCUGUAAUGUGUCUGCACACACAUGUAUAUGUACUUUAACCAGUGAGUAUCCAUACAAAUGCUACUCGUUUAUUUGACACCCCAAAACAGUAGUCCGCACUCUGGCAGAUGCUUUGCGAACCAUCUCAGUAUGGGUUGGAAAAUAAAAUAAUCUUUAUACAUGGUAUCUAAUGUUAAAAACUUCCAAUGGUACACUGCACCACAUUUCCACUUCUCAUUCCAAAUUUCCCCCGGUGCUCAUUUUUAAAUUUAAACAAACUACACAAAACACAGUAUCAUUUUUUUUUCCCGGAAAUCUUUUAUCUCUUCCGCUUACCUCAGUUUUGAAUGUUUGCUUACAGAAGAAAGAAAACCACACCAAACCCCAAUCACCUCCAAAGAAGCAUUUUUAAGUGCACUAACACCUUUACUUUUCCAGAAUCAAUCUUGCACUGUAAAGGGCAGUCCUUCCUCUUGGUGUUUGAAACACCAAGAGAAUGUUUGGUGGGUCUUGGUUGCUCAAAAGGAAGACAUUAAUUUAACGAGACUUCAGAAGGUCUUUAACUUCCUUGUUCUAAGAUCACCGUUCUGAAUAAGCCACCUAAAAUGUCAAUAAACGUCGGAUAUUUCA